AUAAUACCUCAUAGGUUAUGGAUGCUGGAAUGCUUCAUAGCUCAAAGCCCCGGCGCCUAAGGAUGACUCUGCGGACUAUCAGGUAGUAGUCAGGGUAACGACCUGACUAGCCUACGACGGAUACGGGGUGUGAGAGCACUAGCCCGGAGAUGGAUUCUGAGACACGAAUCCAGGCCCUACGGGGUGCAGCAGGCGCGAAACUUCCGCAAUGCUCGCCAGAGUGACGGAGGGAUUCCAAGUGCCUAUGCUAUGCGUAGGCUGUUUUUAUGUCUAAAUAACAUGGAGAGUAAGAGCUGGGUAAGACGGGUGCCAGCCGCCGCGGUAAUACCUGCAGCUCGAGUGGUAACCGCUAUUAUUGGGCCUAAAGCGUCCGUAGCCGGUUUGGUAAAUAUCUGGGUAAAUCGUGAGGCUUAACUUCACGAAUCUCGGAUAGACUGCCAGACUUGGGAUCGGGGGAG
rnacentral:rRNA from 1 species